CCUUAUCACUUUUCCAGCCCAGCUGUGUGAUUCUAAGUGUUGGACGGAGAACUGAUAAGGGU
rnacentral:pre_miRNA from 1 species